UUAUUUAGGAAAGAGUAGGUAUUACAAAAAUAUAAAUGUUAAUUUAAAAGUUUUACAAAAAAUAAUAAACAUUCGAAACCAAGAAACCAGUUAUUAAAAUAGCCGUCUUGCUAAUAAAUUAUUGUUAAGUUAAAACGGAAAUCGUGUAAAUGAAUAAAUUUUACGUCUAACUCGCAGUAGGUAAUUAUUAUGCCAAAAAAGGAAAAAAUCAUCUAGUAUGUCUUAAAAGUUCUCUUUUUUUUAAAAUUACAACAAUUUAAGUCAACAUAUUUUUUAGAAUUAAUUAAUAAAUUUAGGGCAUACUAGUCGCUAUCCUUUUCAUUUCCGAACUGGAGCUUCACGGUAACUGCACUAAUUACUUACUUAGAUAGGAAUUGGCAGGUAUUGCGCAACAAUGCGAACAAUCAUGCUAUACUAUUAACACCGGCAGGUAUUUCGCUAUGCGAUAAUCAUGCUAUGUGUUACGCUAAGUAAUGAUUAGGGUUUUUACCGCUUUUCUUCGGGCCUACUAAUGGGAACAUCAGUUGAUGGUGGAGGACGGAUGACGUAUUGAGCUUCCUGACACCACAGCAGGUAUUGUCUUCACAUCCUUCGAUCGUUCAAUUAAUUUGGACGAUCAAAAAACUUUUGCUUUUGUCUUCCCUUCUUUUUUGACAUAAGUAUAAAUUUUUAUUUUUCAGUACUAGAAAGUACGCACCUAAUAUGCUUUGACGAUUUAUUUAAAGACUUCUUUCUUGAAUUUUAUUUGAUGUUUAAAAUAAAUUAUUUGAUUGUGAGAAUUAUUUUGAAUAUUUCGCAUAUAAAAGUUUGAAAUAGUACUAGGUUCUAUAUCUAGGUCCCUUAGGUACUCUUCAGUGAUUGAAAAUUUUAUUUGAAAAUCUUCAAAUAGGUAAGUGACGUAUUUUGAGCAUAUUAAUGCUAAUAAAAUGCGACGAUCGUUCCUAUGCCAUAAGUGCUUAUAUUUAAAAACUGAUACAAACGAAAAGUUGAAAAAGUAAGAAAAAAAAAAUACUUAAGGACUGACUAAAAGAAAACUUAUGAUUAUACAUCUGAUUGUGACAAAAAUAAUAAGUUAUAUGAUUUCGCCCAACAUGGUGAACACCCACAUUCUCUAACUAAUUAUAUGAUUAAAAUACGAAAUGUGCUUAGUUGAUGUACAUAUUGAGGUUCUUAAACAUUUUUCAGAAUCCAGUGGUUCUAUGUAGUUUUUCUAGAAUUAACAUUUUCUUUGUGCUUAAGAUUAUUAGGAACUGUUAAAAUAUUUCAAUUUAAGAUGUGUUAAAUCCGUUACGUUACUAUAAAUACCCACAUCAUUUGGCUGGCAUGAUGUCAAGAUCUUUUUCUAUUUAGUACCAAUUUCCCACCCCUUGUCGCUUUGACGGCCCUUUUCAAAACUUUCAUUUCGAGUUUUAAAAGCCCAAAAUCAAAGCAGUCAUUCUUUUUCAGGCAUCGUGGGACCAAAAUUUGACAACUGCAUUUGUGUAGGUUUUCAUUUGCAGUUGUCAGCUUAGUCAUUGAUUUCGGUCAAUUGACGAUUUUUUGUGGACUACAACCUUAGGUUUCACGACCUAAAACCGUAGUCCUGACCUUGACCAGCAAUGGUCGAGGGAAACUCAAUCAAGUUAGUACCAAUUUCCCAUCCUUUGUCGCUGACUUUAUGCCAGUUUUGACGUUGCUCCCAGAGCUUUUAUUUCGGGUUUCAAAAACCUAAAAUCAAAGCAGUCAUUCUUUUUCAGGCAUCGUGGGACCAAAAUUUGACAACUGCAUUUGUGUAGGUUUUCAUUUGCAGUUGUCAGCUUAGUCAUUGAUUUCGGUCAAUUGACGAUUUUUUGUGGACUACAACCUUAGGUUUCACGACCUAAAACCGUAGUCCUGACCUUGACCAGCAAUGGUCGAGGGAAACUCAAUCAAGUUAGUACCAAUUUCCCAUCCUUUGUCGCUGACUUUAUGCCAGUUUUGACGUUGCUCCCAGAGCUUUUAUUUCGGGUUUCAAAAACCUAAAAUCAAAGCAGUCAUUCUUUUUCAGGCAUCGUGGGACCAAAAUUUGACAACUGCAUUUGUGUAGGUUUUCAUUUGCAGUUGUCAGCUUAGUCAUUGAUUUCGGUCAAUUGACGAUUUUUUGUGGACUACAACCUUAGGUUUCACGACCUAAAACCGUAGUCCUGCCUUGACCAGCAAUGGUCGAGGGAUUUAAUUUAAAUUAGUGCCAAACUCCCUACCCGAUGUCGUUGACUUUGGUCAGCUUUGACGUUCCUUUCCUAAAGCUAAGAUUUUGGACUUUUAAAACCUAAAAUCAUGGUGAUCAAUUUCGGGCAUCGUGGGAAAGCCCUGACUUGCGACUGUCAUCGCAGUUAUUGACUUUGUGCCAACUACUAACGGCUUUUUUGAGAAUGUAUAAGUGUGGUUCACCCCUUAUUAGUAAUGGUCGAGGAAACUCUGAUUUAAGUUUCCCUCGCCUUGUUAUUGAUUUCAUGCCAGCUUUGAUGUUUCUUCCCCAAAUGUAUGAGUUUAGAUAUUAAUCUUAAUAUUGUUGCAUUAUUGCAGGUGUUACAUACCUAUUGUUUGAUUUUUAUGUGUAUAGUGAAGUGCCUUUUUAUGUAACGAUAUUUCUGUGUAGAUAUCGAUGGGGAUGUUUGCUUACUAAACUGGACAUCAGCCUGUAUUAUUCGUAUUGGAGCAAGUUUUUGAAGUGCCUGAACUACGUCGUGGUAAUUAGAAGGGUAACAACCAAGUUGUCAUAAAAUUAUGUAUAAAAUACGCUUUCUAUAUAAAUUAUUUAUUAACAAUUUUCAUGUGAAAUGGUCAAUUGAAAGCGUAUUUUUUACUUAAUUAAACGAUAUUUCUCUGUAGAUAUCGAUGGUGAUGUGUUUGCUUACUAAACUGGACAUCCGCUUGUAUUCUUCGUAACGGAGCAACUUUUUGAAGUGCCUGAACUACGUCGUGGUUAAUUACAAGGGUAACAACCAAGUCGUCAUAAAAUUGAGUAUAAAAUAGGCUUUCUAUGUAAAUUAUUUAUUAACAUAUUUUAUGUGAAAUGGUCAAUUGAAAGCGUAUUUUUUACUUAAUUUUGUGUUUCAAUGAGAAAUUGGGUCCAGUCCAACUUUCCAUCAAGUUCUGGAGUUCAGAUUUUUGGUGCAACUAAAAGUGGAAUAUUCUUGACGCUAAUAAGUUAUCUUUCUUCCUAUUAACAUGGUCAAUGAAAUACUUAUUUUAAAAAUAGUCUCUUUUUAACUUCUAAACAUGCAAUUAUUGAAUAAAAUAAUUUUAGAAUGAAGCCGAUCCAGAUCCAGAUCUAGAUCCAGAUCCUGCCUGUAUGCCACAGCUCCGCUUAAAGAGAUGAAAAAUGGGAAGAUGUGUCAUGUCAGGACAACAGGGAGAAAUCACCUUCUGGACAUUUUAGUUGUGUUAUUGUAAUGUUCAGGUAUAUGAUUACUGCUUAGAGUGCUAAAUAUUCGUUAAAAGAUGAAUUAUCCUUAUUUAGUAAAUAUCUUGUUGCAUAUAAUGAAUAAUUUUUGUAUUUAAAGAUUUAAUUAGUUAAAUUGAUUUAGUUUGUUGUAUUGAAAAUUAACUGUAAGCAUUAGUUUAAGAUAUUUGUGUAUUUAUUUAAUAAGAUUAAUCUGUUUACUAACUUAGUAUAAGUCUUAGAGUAAUUUAAUUUUAGAUAGAUUAAGUAGUUAGUAGUAAUUAGUUUAAGAUAUUUGUGUAUUUAAUAAAAUUGAGGUAAUCUUGUUGCUUACUUAGUAUAAGAAUUAGAGUAAUAUAAUUUUAGAUAGAUUAAGUAGCUAGUAAUAAUUAGUUUAAGAUAUUUGUAUAUUUAAUAAAGUAACCGUCUUACUAACUUAGUAUAAGUCGUAGAAUAAUAUAGUUUUAGAUAGAUUUUAAGUAUUAUUAAAGGUAGGAACGUGUUAUUAUUUUUAUUACGGUAAUCUUUGUAAUUUCGCAAAACAUUCAUGUAAAUAAACAUACGCUUUUUUUCUUCUGUAAAUUAGUAAUAUUAAUACAAAUACAACUUCCUAC